rnacentral:rRNA from 1 species
CACGUAGGGCGCGAGCGUUGUCCGGAAUUAUUGGGCGUAAAGAGCUCGUAGGCGGCCUGUUGCGUCCGCUGUGAAAGCCCGGGGCUUAACCCCGGGUCGGCAGUGGAUACGGGCAGGCUAGAGGUAGGUAGGGGAGAAUGGAAUUCCCGGUGUAGCGGUGAAAUGCGCAGAUAUCGGGAGGAACACCAGUGGCGAAGGCGAUCAUCUGGGGUUGUUCUGACACUGAGGAGCGAAAGCUAGGGGAGCAAACAGG